AAAAGGCGGCGUAAGCUGUCGCUAAAGGAUGGACCCGCGGUGCAUUAGCUAGUUGGUAAGGUAACGGCUUACCAAGGCGACGAUGCAUAGCCGAGUUGAGAGACUGAUCGGCCACAUUGGGACUGAGACACGGCCCAAACUCCUACGGGAGGCAGCAGUAGGGAAUCUUCCACAAUGGGCGAAAGCCUGAUGGAGCAACGCCGCGUGAGUGAAGAAGGUUUUCGGAUCGCAAAGCUCUGUUGUUGGUGAAGAAGGAUAGAGGUAGUAACUGGCCCCUAUUUGACGGUAAUCAACCAGAAAGUCACGGCUAACUACGUGCCAGCAGCCGCGGUAAUACGUAGGUGGCAAGCGUUGUCCGGAUUUAUUGGGCGUAAAGCGAGCGCAGGCGGAAAGAUAAGUCUGAUGUGAAAGCCCCCGGCUUAACCGAGGAAUUGCAUCGGAAACUGUGUUUCUUGAGUGCAGAAGAGGAGAGUGGAACUCCAUGUGUAGCGGUGGAAUGCGUAGAUAUAUGGAAGAACACCAGUGGCGAAGGCGGCUCUCUGGUCUGUAACUGACGCUGAGGCUCGAAAGCAUGGGUAGCGAACAGGAUUAGAUACCCUGGUAGUCCAUGCCGUAAACGAUGAGUGCUAAGUGUUGGGAGGUUUCCGCCUCUCA
rnacentral:rRNA from 1 species